AUACUAAAGCUAUUACCAAUGAAAGUUGUAUGACGGUGGCUCUGAGUUAGAGAGGCAGGUGAUGCCUAUGUGUAUCCGAUGCACUUUAACGAAAGGAGCAUUUUUUUGUCAAUCGAAGCGGCAUUGGAAUUGAUGAUUAGUUUUGCAGCGUUUGUUGCACUACUGAUUUUCGGUAU
rfam:Enterococcus faecalis V583, complete genome.